CCCUUUUGAACACCAGGCAGUUUGCAGGAAUUUCUGCAUGUGAGAGGUGGGAUUGUGAGCAGGGAGGGGCUGCCCUGCUCUCAAAACAUCUGCUCAGCCUCUGGUGGUUCUGGUUGUGAUGCCAAUGGGUCUCCACCUGCUGAAAUCUUCAUCCCAAAGCUCCCCCUGAUCCAGCAGGGUUAUCCUGUCCUAGCCCAGCACAUCCCCAUCCCUUUGGGGCUGCCUUGUACUCAGUUUUCGGACUAAAACCCCAACCUUCUCCCUUCCCUGGAGUGCCAGGCUGUGAUUCCUGCCCCUCUCCCUGCUCUGGCAAGGGAAGGGAAGGGAAGGGGGAGCCCAGCACUCGGGCUCAGCCAGCUUUGGGAGCUGGGAAGGGGAGUGGACUGAGCCCCUUGGGUGGGAAAGGGGAGAAGUGAGGGCAGGGCCCCUCUGCAGCCCUGGCUGGGCUGUUUGCAGGGUGCAGAGCCUUAUGUAAGUGUGCAGGGAGCACAGGACAUGUCCCAGCAGCGCCUGCUCGGGGCUGGGCUGGGGCUGCCUCUUAAAUCUUUACCUUAAGGGUGUUCAAAACCAACUUGUCUUUUCUUCUUCUUCUUUUUUUUUUCUUUCCCUUUUUUCUUUUAUUAUUGUUCUACCGCAGAGUGAGGCAUCGGGUUUAACUCCUCUGGCUCUGGCUGGGGGAUGGAAGGGGACAGCUGGGCUGGAAGGGCUCCCAGGGUGGUUGUGUUUGUGAUGGGAAGGGUAGGAGGGCUUUGGGAGCUGUCUGGGAAGUGCCAUGAUUCAUGGCUUAGUGCUUUUUUCAGUUUUGGAACAAUAUGCAGGAGCUGCUUCACUGCAGCUUGCCCUGCCCUGAGGUCCUGCAGCCAGGCAAACACAAGUUUUGAAGUCACAGAGCUUAAAUUUAUCAAAUUCUGGCCUCUCUCCAGCUGGGGUUGAGGUUUCCUAACAUUUCUGUGCUGUGGGAGCUAUGGGAAGGCCACAUCCUAAUUACCAGCCAAGCAGAGGGCUUUGGCAGGUCUGCUGUGGUACCAUGGGGUUUGGAGACCCCCAGUUUCAGGAGGUUUUGGCUCUGCCUCCCACCAUGGUGGAGCCAGCAGGGGGGUGGCCAGCAGCUGGGCAAGGGCAUUGCUGCCCUCCCUGCCCUGGCAGUGCCCUGGGAGUGCUCUGCAUGGCAGCAGAGGCUCUCUUAGGUACGUGGGUGCCAGGAGCAGUUUGCUCUGGGCAGCCAGAUUUGGUGCUGAGGAUCUCACCUGCUCUGGGUUGAACCCUGGCUGACACUUGCAUCUAAAAGUGGCCACGUAAUCCUCACCUGGGUAAAGGGGAACUCGGAUCAAAUCCCCUGAAUGCAGGGGGACAGAUCCAGCUGAGACUUUUGCUGUCUCUCCAUUCUUCACUGCAAACCAUUCCUGGCUUUUGUGUGCUCCUGCACCCCACAGUUUUGUUUGGGGUCACUUUGAUUAUUUAGCUUCAAUUUUAGCUUCAAUUAUUUUCAAGCUGGCAGAGUCUGCUUCUCCUUUUCCAGCUGGAAGCAGAAAAUUGGAAUGACUUUGAAAGCCAAGGCAAGCAGAGCAGCUCCCUCCCUCCACCUUUGUGCCACCAAACAUGGACUUGAGCUCUUUUGGGUGCUUACAAGCACCCUUGUAACCUUUGGGGACAAUGAUGUGGCUGACAAGUGCUCCUUAAAUCUGAGUAAUGCCAGGCAAGGAACUGGCACAGAGAGGGGCUCCAUGGACAAGUAACAAACCAAAAUAAAGCUGUUUCCUUUCUUUUUGAGAGCCCUUGGCAGGAAAGCAGACACAGAGGUGGAUGGAGCUCUGAAAGGGCUUUGGUCUCUAGGGGUGAGCCCGUGCCAUUGCUCCAGGUCCUUUAUCUGCUGGCACAGCCUCUCUGUGGAUUUAAGCCCUGGUGGCAGGCAGGUUAUCACUGGCCUUUGGUGGCACCACUGGCACAGCCCCUCUCAGGAGGGCUUUGUACUUUUAUUUUUGCAAAUAUUUUGCCAUGCCCUCAGUGCUCCCCUCAGGGCCAGACCCUGCGAGUGUCCCCACGUCCCCUCUUCCCCUCGGUGAUGAAACCCUACAGGUGCAGGGCUGGGAUCCACCUUCCCAGCCAAGAGCAAGGACACAAAAUCCCUCCUGUUUCCUGCAAAAUGUGGCUCUGGAGAAGGCUUUGUAGCUCCAAAGUUUCUCCUUUUUAUGUACCUUACUCCCCAAGGCUCUCCCUGCAUCCACCCCAGCCCAGCCCACCCCGCAAGCGCAGCCCCUCCUGUAGCUUUAGAGACAAGACUUGGGCGCUAUUCCACCAAGGAAUUCAGCUCUUUUUCUGUCCUUUCUGUAGGUUUUUAUCGUGGUGUGUGAGAUGAGUUGUUUACUGGAGCAGUUUCUGCACUGAGGUGGUGCUGCCCCUCAGGUGGGCCCUGGCCAAGCUGCCUGAGCCCGGCUGGAUCUGGCUGCCAAGCGUGUCCAACCCAAUUCUUUGGGAAAGAACUCAGCUUCCCCAGGCCUGAACUUUCCCAGCAGAUCCUGUUUCAGCCACCUAAACCCGUUAGAGCCAGAGGCAGGAUUGUUCUGGGGAGACUGAGGGCAAUUAGGAAAUUACCCUGCUCCCCCUCCCCUGCCCUGGGAUCCAUCAGCAUGAAGCCAAAUAUUUGCUUUCGGAUGGGUGGAUUUUGGAGCUGGCUCCACAUGAGAGCACAGGGGUGGAGGCUUGAAUUUUGGCCCUUUUGGGUAAUUGUUUUUGAAGCAGGACCUCCAAGCUUGCUGCCAUCACCCUGCUCAGCAGAUUCCAAAGCCAGGCCCUGUCACAGCUGGCAUUUGCUCCGUUGUUGAUGGAAAACAGUCUGCCCAUGGGUUUCUGGGGUGGGAAGCACCCUCUCUGUGUCUGUACACAUUAGAAAGACUCAAUAAAAGGCUGCAGCACCGUUGGUAGCUUUGCAAUCCUGUUUUAUUCUGCUGUGCUCCAGGCCCUGGAGCAGCAGGAGCUGUGUGUGGCUCUGAAAUUGGUGCUGGGAGGUGCCCAGGCCUGCUGGGCACCCUGGGCAGAGCAGCAGAGCCAGUGGUCCAAAAGCAGCUGCCCAAUUCAAUGCUGAAAUCAGAUCCUGACGUUUAAAAUUAUUACUUUGUUCUUUUCUUUUCGGUUUUUUUUUUUUGACAUCUGCUCUUUGUAAGUGAUUUAUAUAAUCCCUCAAAAUUUUGUAUCUGGAAGUAAAGUGAAUGUGUCUCUUAAAAGUAUGCCUAUCCUUUCAAAAUGUGAAAUUCUGAUUGUUGGAAUAAAAAAAAAUAAAAAGAAAGAAACCUACCCCAUAUUAGCACAUGUUUGUAAUUAAUGUUUUAUGAAUGUUGUUUAAAAGAUUUGUGUAGAAUAAACCAGUUUAAAAAGAAAA